rnacentral:tRNA from 1 species
GUCACUUUGCCGGAGUGGUUAACGGGAUCGCCUGCUAUUUAUAGCUCUUAGCGGUUGGGCUUUGCCCGCGAGUGUUCGAAUCGCUCAGGUGACG